CGAGACUUCAGUGACAGAUGGAGGAGGAAAUCUUAGAGGCCUUUAGGAUCCCAGAUUGCUGCCUUCAAUGGUUUCCAUUAGUAUUGCCAAUCCCUUCUUCCCACCAGGCACAAACUCACAACUGCAUGGCAAGUCCUAAACUCUUGUGUCCAUGUAGAUCAGAAUGGGAACUGGUUUUCUUUCAUUCACUGUGGUGAGUUCAAGUAUGAAGAAAAUACGCAGUUAUCUCAUGAAGGCCGAGGUUGUGUCAUUCCCUAAGCUUCUUCCUGUGAGCUCACGCUGGGCAGGGCCAGCACAGAUCGUUCAUCUUUUCUGCACCCCAUGACCGAGAAGCUGAUCAAUUUCCAGAAUAGCUCUAUCUGUUGAUAAAAUUGGAAAUGUUUGGGCCAAGUUUCUUCAGAAAUAGCCUCCUAUUCUAAGAACUGAAAACCAUCUUGGUCAUUGAGGCAUGGUUUAGAUGGCUAGAGGAUUUCUGGGGUUGGCAAGGCUCCAGUAUUUUCUGUAGUGAAUUGUGGGCCUGAGCUUGGGGUUCAAGGUAGAAGUGUUCUUGCCUGGUUGUAGGGCAGGCAGGGCAAGUCGGCCAUAGC
rnacentral:lncRNA from 1 species